GACGAACGCUGGCGGCGUGCUUAACACAUGCAAGUCGAGCGGAGCGGCGAACGGGUGAGUAAGGCGUUAGUAACUGCCCCCCUCUCUGGGAUAACAGUUGGAAACGGCUGAUAAUACCGGAUAGUGGGGGAUGGCUGGGGGCCUAUCAGCUUGUUGGGUGGGUAGUGGCCUACCAAGGCGACGACGGGUAGCCGGCCUGGGAGGGGGGACGGCCUCAUGGGGCUGAGGUACGGCCCAGUGUCCUACGGGAGGCAGCAGGGGGAAAUAUUGUGCAAUGGGGGCACCCGUGAUGCAGCAGCGCGCGGGCGGGAUGACGUCUUUCGGGUGGUAAACCGCUUUCAGCCAUGACGCGGUAGUGGCAGAAGAAGCACCGGCUAACUACGUGCCAGCCGCCGCGGUAAUUC
rnacentral:rRNA from 1 species